CUUAUGAAUGAUGAAUGAAUGAUAUCCACCAGGUAGCGCGAGUGUCUUCAGGGACGGUUAGCGGCCAUUUUGUUCCUAGACGCAGCUGAAGUAGGUUGUUGGCUGUCACGCUCCUCACCAUGAAAAUUAAAAGAUGAUUUAGCACGUAGAAACCAAUUUGCCAAAUCAUUCAACUCAGACUUGGAAGUGCCUGUACAUUUCCGAAAUGGCGUGCCUCGUGUGUCUCCCUGCCUGUUCUUUGGCUUACGUCUCACCCCAUUCAACAGUAAAAAGUAUAACACACACUUCUUUAACGCUGGUGGUUACCUUGUUGCAGCCAAAUGGUGAAAGGUGUGACGAAGACAGAUUGAGCCUUUGUAUGCAGUUGCAGUGUAAUCCAGAAGUUGCUGUGCUGUUGUAGCUGAGCUGUUCCAUCUGGGUUCCUGACUUCAAAAAUUUUGUGUUGUCGUUUUCAUCCAUGCCAUAUGAAAUUGCUCUGCCAGUGAUAUGUUGUGUUGCUGCGUUAAAAGUUUGAUGUGUUGUCUUGAGUUUUCAUUCAA
rnacentral:lncRNA from 1 species